UCAUUUAUUUGCAAAUAAGAAUACAUACAUCUAGUAAGUGGCUGGACCAAGUCUUGACCUUGGGUCUCCUGAGUCCAAGGCCUGUGUGCUUCCCUCUGCCCUAACCUGCAUCCCAUGAACAAUUCUGAGAGCUGACAGUAUGCCUGCCUACCCAGUUCUGCCCUUCCCUGUUUGUUGUGUCUGACCCUCAAGAUUCCCAAGACAGACGCUGCAAUGGGCAACUAUUUGGCCAGCGAUUUGGAAAAAGCCUUCUGAAGAAGAGCACACCAGGGGGAAAGAAGGGAGAGCUCGAUUUUAGCCUUACUUAAGCCUGCUUGGCCUCUCAGCUGCUACAUGGACGAGAGAAAGAAACGGCACUUACAGAUGUUCCUGGCCAAGUUUCCACACGUGCCUAUGAUGGUCUGGGAAAGUUUAACAUCAAGAUCUCUUUGUGACUUGAUAAACCUUCCUUGUGGCCAUUCUGGUGAUGAUGCUGUCCAAACCUAGCUUGUAGCUUGGCCCUCAGAAGACAAGUGUGCAUAGAGUUGGUAACUCUGGGCCUAUACUUGAAACUUCUAGCCUGAUGGGACCUUUGGGGUCUGGGGCUCUUUUGGCCUAGCCCCCAAGAAGCAAAGAUCGCUUCCUCCCCAUAAUAUGGAGUCCCCCUCCAAUGCCUAUGGUUAUGUGUUUUGAAACCUAUUCUCUAUUGACAUGUAGCUAAAUUAGCUCUUAGUGGUCAUUGCUCUAUGCUCCCUUGAAUAAAAUUUAGGCAGAAUGCUAAUUUAUGAGUUCCAUUAAAGCAUCUAGUUUACUCCAGUGAACCAACAGCCUUCAAGAAUCCUAGUUGACUGAGAGAGAUAAAGCAAAUUCCAUUUGAGAAAUCCUAGAGAUGUGUGCGUGUGUGUGUGUGUGUGUAUGUGUAUGUUUGGAAGACACCCCCUCCCCAACUAUUCUGCCUAUGCAGUGAAGGUAGCCCCUUGGCAUGAUACUUUGUGUAUAGUAACUAUAUUUUGACUACCUAGAGAAUGUUAAAUUUUCCCAAUAAAAUUUGAUGUGCUUUUCAGAAAAAACAAAUCCCAAACCUCCAGACCCAAUUAUACAACUUGUAAAUACAGGCUUCAGGAAGCAGGGAGGAUGAAUGUAGUCACUAAGGAAUCACCCCUUUCCAAAUAACGUGGCCCUCCUCUCUCUUUCCCACUCCAGAAUUCAUUUCUAAACAUUGUUAUUUGUAGAUAGAAGCCAACUUGCCUCUUUAUGACAAAUUUGUAAUCUAACAGUGUUUGUCUUUAAGUAUCAAUAAAUUGCACACAUCACGCAGUCCUAAGGACUUUCCGUGUCCUCAUCUGUAAACCAAGGGAAUCCUCCUGAAUGAGCUCUCAGAUGCUGAUCUGCCCUGACAUUCUGUGUUUUAACCUCUCUGAGUGAGUGCAUUAACACAGGAGUCUGUCUGCUUUCAUCCUCUGCAGCCUGCGUUAAGUAAGUUUCUUUGGCCUUGCUUGUGUUUGCCAGUGCUUUCUCCUCGACUAUACUCGGCAUUCCCCUGAUGAUGGUGAUGAUGAUGAUGAUGGUGAUAAAAGUACUAUGAAUAUAGCACCUCUUACGGACCAGGCACUGUGUGAAGCACUUAAAUAUUAUCUCAUUUGAUCCUUAACAAUGCCCCUGAUAGGGGAAGUAGGUUCUGCUAUUAUCCCCAUUUUACAGUGGAGAAAACUGAGGCAGACAGCAGUUAAAUGAUGUGUUCAGAGUCAUGUAGCUAGUAAGUGCCUAGGGCUAGAUUUGAACUUGGGUUUUGCUAGCUUUAGGCCCCGGGUUCUAUGCCCUGGUACCCCCCAGCUACCAUACAGAAAAAGAAAGGUAGACUCCGUCAACCUCCCUGCAGCUGCCGUGACUGAUGCCCUUGCAGGUUAUGGGGUUGAGCUGAUGAAGCCACAAAUAACAACCAGCAAUAGUAGCUGAGAUGUCUGUAGUUCUUGACACGUGGGUGGAAGCGUAACUUCACGUCUUGUGUCUUGUUUGGUCCUCACAGCAGCUCUGAGGGAGGCUGGGGAGCUGUUAUCCCCACUUUACAGAUGAGGAAACUGCAGCCCAAAGACUUAAAAUGACGCUCACUGAGAACCCCAGGGACUCCUGGGCAAACAAGGCAGAGUCUUAGUUAUCUGUACCCAGGUAGGUGACGGCUCCUGUCCUCGGCGCAGCACGCUUACGCCUUGUGCUUCUCAGGGACCUGCUUUGCGCCACCUCUUUUGUAAGUUGGAAUUUUGUCUUUUAAUAAACGGGUUUCUAACACGA